ACGGACUUCGGUCUGGUGGCGAGUGGCGAACGGGUGAGUAAUGUAUCGGAACGUACCUUUCAGUGGGGGAUAACGUAGCGAAAGUUACGCUAAUACCGCAUAUUCUGUGAGCAGGAAAGCAGGGGAUCGCAAGACCUUGCGCUGAUUGAGCGGCCGAUAUCAGAUUAGCUAGUUGGUGAGGUAAAGGCUCACCAAGGCGACGAUCUGUAGCGGGUCUGAGAGGAUGAUCCGCCACACUGGAACUGAGACACGGUCCAGACUUCUACGGGAGGCAGCAGUGGGGAAUUUUGGACAAUGGGGGCAACCCUGAUCCAGCCAUGGCGCGUGAGAGAAGAAGGCGUUCGGGGUGUAAAGCUCUUUUUGGCGCGAAGAAAUCGCAUAGGUUAAUAAACCUGUGUGGGAGGACAGUACCGCAAUAAAAAAGCACCGGCUAACUACGUGCCAGCAGCCGCGGUAAUACGUAAGGUGCGAGCGUUAAUCGGAAUUACUGGGGCGUAAAGCGUGCGCACGCGGUUUCGUAAGACAGAAGUGAAAUCCCCGGGCUCAACCUGGGAACUGCCUUUGUGACUGCGAAGCUAGAGUAC
rnacentral:rRNA from 1 species